rnacentral:rRNA from 1 species
AGUGAACGCUGGCGGUAGGCCUAACACAUGCAAGUCGAACGGCAGCACAGUAAGAGCUGGCUCUUACGGGUGGCGAGUGGCGGACGGGGGAGGAAGACAUCGGAAUCUACUUUUUCGGGGGGGGUAACGUAGGGAAACUUACGCUAAUACCGCAUACGACCUAAGGGUGAAAGCAGGGGAUCUUCGGACCUUGCGCGAUUGAAUGAGGCGAUGUCGGAUUAGCUAGUUGGCGGGGUAAAGGCCCACCAAGGCGACGAUCCGUAGCUGGUCUGAGAGGAUGAUCGGCCACACUGGAACUGAGACACGGUCCAGACUCCUACGGGAGGCAGCAGUGGGGAAUCUUCGACAGUGGGCGCAAGCCUGAUCCAGCCAUACCGCGUGGGUGAAGAAGGCCUUCGGGUUGUAAAGCCCUUUUGUUGGGAAAGAAAAGCAGCAGGUUAAUCCCCCGCUGUUCUGACGGUACCCAAAGAAUAAGCACCGGCUAACUUCGUG